rnacentral:rRNA from 1 species
UACAGAGGGGGCAAGCGUUGUUCGGAAUUACUGGGCGUAAAGGGCGCGUAGGCGGCCUGUUAAGUCGGACGUGAAAUCCCUCGGCUCAACCGGGGAACUGCGUCCGAUACUGGCGGGCUUGAAUUCGGGAGAGGGAUGUGGAAUUCCAGGUGUAGCGGUGAAAUGCGUAGAUAUCUGGAGGAAUACCGGUGGCGAAGGCGGCGACCUGGUCCGACACUGACGCUGAGGCGCGAAAGCGUGGGGAGCAAACAGG